GGGUAACUGUUUAUGAACCGUUCAUGAACACACAUAUUCUGAGCAAACGAACAAGGUCUUGCUCGUGUUCCCUCGGUUCGUUUGCAGCCCUAUUAAUUUAAACAUAUGAGCAUACACUGUUUUGCAUAAACUGUUUUUCUAGAAAGAUUCGUCAACUAACCUUAUCACAAUAGAUUGGUUUACCUCAUCUGCACGAUAAAAAAGAGCAAUAAUUACAUAAUCAGAUGAUUCAGAUGGCCAAAAGUGAGAAAAAAGACCUCCAUAAAAGUAUAAAAAGGAAACAUUAAAAAAAACCUCUAAUCAUUUCCCGUAUAGCUGUAUCAGCAAUAGCAUAUACGUGAGGAUUGUCGAUAGAUUUACGCUUAUAGGCUUCAAUAUAAUCACUCCCAUAUAACGGGAUUUUCUUGAAAGGAUUGAUGGCAACUAAAACCGGUCCUGCUUUGGACUAUCAUGUCUCUAUCAUAUCUGUAUUGAAGAUUGUACAAGACUGACGGUUCGU
rnacentral:lncRNA from 1 species